UACGUAGGGUGCGAGCGUUAAUCGGAAUUACUGGGCGUAAAGCGUGCGUAGGCGGUUCGUUAAGUCUGUCGUGAAAUCCCCGGGCUCAACCUGGGAAUGGCGAUGGAUACUGGCGAGCUAGAGUGUGUCAGAGGAUGGUGGAAUUCCCGGUGUAGCGGUGAAAUGCGUAGAGAUCGGGAGGAACAUCAGUGGCGAAGGCGGCCAUCUGGGACAACACUGACGCUGAAGCACGAAAGCGUGGGGAGCAAACAGG
rnacentral:rRNA from 1 species